rnacentral:rRNA from 1 species
AGAACGAACGCUGGCGGCAGGCCUAACACAUGCAAGUCGAACGCCCGUAGCAAUACGGGAGUGGCAGACGGGUGAGUAACGCGUGGGAACGUACCUUUCGGUUCGGAAUAACCCGGGGAAACUCGGGCUAAUACCGGAUACGUCCGCAAGGAGAAAGAUUUAUCGCCGAAAGAUCGGCCCGCGUCGGAUUAGCUAGUUGGUGAGGUAACGGCCCACCAAGGCGACGAUCCGUAGCUGGUCUGAGAGGAUGAUCAGCCACACUGGGACUGAGACACGGCCCAGACUCCUACGGGAGGCAGCAGUGGGAAUAUUGGACAAUGGGCGAAAGCCUGAUCCAGCCAUGCCGCGUGAGUGAAGAAGGCCUUAGGGUUGUAAAGCUACUUUCAGCGGGGAAGAUAAUGACGGUACCCGCAGAAGAAGUCCCGGCUAACUUCGUAGCCCAGCAGCCGC